CCGCCGCGCGCGGCGGGCCUACGGGAGGCAGCAGUGGGGAAUAUUGCACAAUGGGCGCAAGCCUGAUGCAGCCAUGCCGCGUGUAUGAAGAAGGCCUUCGGGUUGUAAAGUACUUUCAGCGGGGAGGAAGGCGAUAAGGCUAAUAACCUUGUCGAUUGACGUUACCCGCAGAAGAAGCACCGGCUAACUCCGUGCCAGCAGCCGCGGUAAUA
rnacentral:rRNA from 1 species